rnacentral:piRNA from 1 species
UUCCUCAUUGUGUGGAUGUUUGUGUGU